rnacentral:rRNA from 1 species
GCCUAAAGAGAAGCUUGCGGCUGAUUAGCUUGUUGGUGAGGUAAUAGCUCACCAAGGCGACGAUCAGUAUCUGGUUUGAGAGGACGAUCAGACACACUGGAACUGAGACACGGUCCAGACUCCUACGGGAGGCAGCAGUAGGGAAUUUUCCGCAAUGGGCGAAAGCCUGACGGAGCAAUACCGCGUGAGGGAUGACGGCCUAUGGGUUGUAAACCUCUUUUUUCUGGGAGGAAUAAAUGACGUGUACCUGAAGAAUAAGCAUCGGCUAACUCCGUGCCAGCAGCCGCGGUAAGACGGAGGAUGCAAAUGUUAUCCGGAACCACUGGGCGUAAAGCGUCUGUAGGUGGUCCAAUAAGUCAACUGUUAAAUCUUGAGGCUCAACCUCAAAACCGCAGUCGAAACUAUUAGACUAGAGUAUAGUAGGGGUAAAGGGAAUUUCCAGUGGAGCGGUGAAAUGCGUAGAUAUUG